UUAGAUGUCCUUAAUUCUGGUUCUAAGUUCGUUGAUUGGCAUCACUGACAGUUAUUUAACUCUACUUUUUUUUUUUCUCUCUGCAGAUCGUAACAGAAAUACAGUGUCUUGCUGCUCAUGAUACCAGGUUCUAUUCAGAUUUGGCCUAGUCAUGACCUGUUGAAAAUUGCCACUUCUUAUUUGUGCUUUGCAUUGCAUAGCUACAUUUGAAUAGUGUUAGGAUUUGGAGAUUUUGUGUAGUCUAUAAAUUCUGCUUGAUGCAGAAGAUGAUCUGGGCCAUACUGAAAACUCCAGUCGUCUAGCUUCUCCUUUAUCUCCGUGUAAGACUGGAAUUCAAAGGCAUAAUGACAGAAAGGUAACAGUGGGCAGUUAUUACAUUUUGAUGGCACACCUUCCUCCCUAAAUGCCAAGAGAAAGAAUCCACAAGGAUGAAGAUCUCAGAGGAGAUGUGGUCAAGUGGCAGUGUUGGCUGAAAGCGAUCUUGUAGCCAUGGCUAUGGAGUGGAAAUCGUAUCAGGGUCCCGAACGUCUUUUCAGCUACUCAUGUGGUUAUAAAUUUGCCAAAUCUGGAGUCAGGAAGGAAUUUCCCUCACAGGCAACAUAAUGUCAGCAGCCUAAUCAGGGUGAGGGAACAAUCUGCUAGCGCCGAGGGAAGGAAUUACGUUAGGAUCAGAAGAGCCUCUUAGACGAUGCUCACACAGAAGUGCAAAAAACUCACUGAGACUCCAUAUGUACGUAUAGAGGCUUACCAUGUGCAGUUAACUAAACUGGAGAGUAA